UCAGCUGACACCUCCGCUGCUCUGGCAACCGAGAACAGCCUGGAGAAAGGUCAGCUGGCCACCUUCUCCAGGGGCCUGCCCGGAGCCAGCAGGCCCAGCCUUGUGCGGUGUGGGAGCGCCCUCUGUCGGCCAUGGAGGCCAAGCACCUGAAAGUCUCCUAGGCGCACACUCCCCUUUCCAGUUCACCCCUGAGAAUUCCAGGCUCUUUGGAAGUAAAUUCCACACUUGGAAGAAGGAGAGGCCAAGAAGUGGCCACAGACACAGGCUUUGAUUCACGUUCAAGAAGGAAGGCACCUGGAAAAACCAAGGCCUCAUUUCCUGCCCCCUUACUCUGCUCUACCCGCGAGCUCCUCCAAUUGUCCCAACUAUCCUAGGAGACAGAUUUUAUGAGCAGCAAUCGAUGUGAGCAUCCUUGAGGCGUGA